GCGGGUAUCGUAUAGCGGCUAUUAUGUAUCCUUCCCAAGGAUAAGAUCAGGGUCCGACUCCCUGUACCCGCACCA
rnacentral:tRNA from 1 species